UCAGGGAUACUGGGGAGAG
rnacentral:misc_RNA from 1 species